ACUCCUACGGGAGGCAGCAGUAGGGAAUCUUCCACAAUGGGCGCAAGCCUGAUGGAGCAACACCGCGUGAGUGAAGAAGGGUUUCGGUUCGUAAAGCUCUGUUGUUAAAGAAGAACACGUAUGAGAGUAACUGUUCAUACGUUGACGGUAUUUAACCAGAAAGUCACGGCUAACUACGUGCCAGCAGCCGCGGUAAUACGUAGGUGGCAAGCGUUAUCCGGAUUUAUUGGGGCGUAAAGAGAGUGCAGGCGGUUUUCUAAGUCUGAUGUGAAAGCCUUCGGCUUAACCGGAGAAGUGCAUCGGAAACUGGAUAACUUGAGUGCAGAAGAGGGUAGUGGAACUCCAUGUGUAGCGGUGGAAUGCGUAGAUAUAUGGAAGAACACCAGUGGCGAAGGCGGCUACCUGGUCUGCAACUGACGCUGAGACUCGAAAGCAUGGGUAGCGAACAGGAUUAGAUACCCUGGUAGGAUAGCG
rnacentral:rRNA from 1 species